rnacentral:misc_RNA from 1 species
UUUGGGGUGCUUGGUUUUUCUUUACGUUUUACUUUAAGCCUGUUUUGAAGGAGAAAUCUAAGUGCAAAGUUGUUCGAGAUAGUAAUGGGGUGUCGGGAUUUGAUAAGUCUGAUCUCCAGCUUGAUGUGUUUUUGGCUCAGCAUGAUAUGGAGAAUAUAUACAUGUGGGUUUUCAAGGAGAGGUCUGAAAAUGCGUUGGGGGAGAUGCAGUUGAGGAGUUAUAUGAAUGGACAUUCGAAGCAGGGAGAGCAUUCAUUUCCAUUUAGUGUUGACAAG